UUAGCCCUGCUGUGCUCGUGAUGCCGCAUCACCGGUUUUGAGCCAACACUUAAAAAAAGGGUGUCAAUCUCACGGAUGCAAUGCGUUAGGUCUCGGCCAAGGCAAAGCUACCGGGUAGGCACCCACCUGCGAGAGCAGGUUCAAAACUCCGCAGCACACGGCAUGGCGGGGUGAAC
rnacentral:other from 1 species